rnacentral:rRNA from 1 species
GGUCAGAUGAAGGUAUCAAAUCCUGAAUCCAUAGGGGUUUGAAGCGAACCCGG